rnacentral:rRNA from 1 species
GGGGAAACCCAGUGCAAUCCGUUGCACUAUCGUUAACUGAAUACAUAGGUUAACGAGGCGAACCGGGGGAACUGAAACAUCUAAGUACCCCGAGGAAAAGAAAUCAACCGAGAUUCCCCCAGUAGCGGCGAGCGAACGGGGAGCAGCCCGGAGUCUGAAUCAGCUUGUGUGUUAGUGGAACGGUCUGGAAAGUCCGACGGUACAGGGUGAUAGUCCCGUACACGAAAGCACACUUGCUGUGAACUCGAAGAGUAGGGCGGGACACGUGGUAUCCUGUCUGAAUAUGGGGGGACCAUCCUCCAAGGCUAAAUACUCCUGACUGACCGAUAGUGAACCAGUACCGUGAGGGAAAGGCGAAAAGAACCCCGGCGAGGGGAGUGAAAAAGAACCUGAAACCGUGUACGUACAAGCAGUGGGAGCCUCUUUAUGGGGUGACUGCGUACCUUUUGUAUAAUGGGUCAGCGACUUAUAUUCUGUAGCAAGGUUAACCGUAUAGGGGAGCCGAAGGGAAACCGAGUCUUAACUGGGCGUUAAGUUGCAGGGUAUAGACCCGAAACCCGGUGAUCUAGCCAUGGGCAGGUUGAAGGUUGGGUAACACUAACUGGAGGACCGAACCGACUAAUGUUGAAAAAUUAGCGGAUGACCUGUGGCUGGGGGUGAAAGGCCAAUCAAACCGGGAGAUAGCUGGUUCUCCCCGAAAGCUAUUUAGGUAGCGCCUCGUGAACUCAUCUUCGGGGGUAGAGCACUGUUUCGGCUAGGGGGCCAUCCCGGCUUACCAACCCGAUGCAAACUACGAAUACCGAAGAAUGUUAUCACGGGAGACACACGGCGGGUGCUAACGUCCGUCGUGAAGAGGGAAACAACCCAGACCGCCAGCUAAGGUCCCAAAGUCAUGGUUAAGUGGGAAACGAUGUGGGAAGGCACAGACAGCCAGGAUGUUGGCUUAGAAGCAGCCAUCAUUUAAAGAAAGCGUAAUAGCUCACUGGUCGAGUCGGCCUGCGCGGAAGAUGUAACGGGGCUAAACCAUGCACCGAAGCUGCGGCAGCGACACUAUGUGUUGUUGGGUAGGGGAGCGUUCUGUAAGCCGUUGAAGGUGUGCUGUGAGGCAUGCUGGAGGUAUCAGAAGUGCGAAUGCUGACAUAAGUAACGAUAAAGCGGGUGAAAAGCCCGCUCGCCGGAAGACCAAGGGUUCCUGUCCAACGUUAAUCGGGGCAGGGUGAGUCGACCCCUAAGGCGAGGCCGAAAGGCGUAGUCGAUGGGAAACAGGUUAAUAUUCCUGUACUUGGUGUUACUGCGAAGGGGGGACGGAGAAGGCUAUGUCAGCCGGGCGACGGUUGUCCCGGUUUAAGCAUGUAGGCGGAGGUUCCAGGUAAAUCCGGUACCUUAUUAACGCUGAGGUGUGAUGACGAGGCACUACGGUGCUGAAGUGAUAAAUGCCCUGCUUCCAGGAAAAGCCUCUAAGCAUCAGGUAACACGAAAUCGUACCCCAAACCGACACAGGUGGUCAGGUAGAGAAUACCAAGGCGCUUGAGAGAACUCGGGUGAAGGAACUAGGCAAAAUGGUGCCGUAACUUCGGGAGAAGGCACGCUGAUGUGUAGGUGAAGCCCCUGCGGG